GGAGGUUACAGCUUAGGCGGUAGGAGCGCAUGCUUAGCAUGCAUGAGGUCCUGCGUUCAAUCCCCAGUACCUCCU
rnacentral:tRNA from 1 species